AUCUAAUGUUGCUUAGUUCGUUCUCUCUGUUCGAUUUUCCUAGUGUUAGCAUGGUGUUAUAGCAACCAAAUUCAACAUAAUUUGAUACAUAAGGAAAUCCUAAAGUGUGAUAUUCAGAAUGGAUCAUUGUUGGCAUUUCCAGUUAACAACAAGGGUAGCUCCUGAGUACUUCAUACUAACCACAACUUCAGCUUCAAUUAACAUCAGCUUAAUAACCCAAAAAUUGUCAAUGAACAAAAAAUAGGUUCUUUCUAAAUUCCAGUUAUCGGUACUUCCAAAGCAGUUGAUCAAGUAGUGAUAUAUACUGUCAUUGCAUUCUCAACAAAAAGCAUGCAGCAAACCUUGCAACAAAAGCAAACAAAGACUGAAUGAGAACCACCUGGUUUUCUUUCCAAAACUAAAAGGGCAAUAACACGAUCGACUAUAAGUUCUUUGUUUAUUUACCCGUUGGCUGCUACAUUGAAUUUCCCUCUUAGACUUCGGGCCCACUCUUUAUUUGAGGUAUUGCUUGGUGUCGCUACAAUCUCUCUGAAAUUUCGGGUAUCUAAAGUAACAUCCUUUCUCAUUUCAUGUUAAUCUUGUGCCGCUCAUUGAACCUGACGAGAGAUUAGCGACGACUGACUGACGUGCUGUCAUUCAGCAAUGCUGCUCACUUGCCUGCCGUCCUCUUUCGUGCUCCGAGGAAUGGGGGAGUUGAGCCUUCUGCCUGCUCCAGCUACGCAGCCAGCAUCAUUCGACACAGCACGGAAUUUUCAUCUUCAGAUUGUUUGGCCAUUGUUCGAUGUGUGAUGGUGUUUCCUUGAGGACGACGAGAUGCUGAAUUUGGGGACGAGAAUAUUACGUUCUGAACUACAGGUAUCUAAAUUUGCAUGACAGACUUUAUGAGAAGUCAUGUCCUUGGCUGCUACCCUUUUCACUUCCUUAAACGGGCCUUCUUGAUUUGAGGGUAACUCCUUCGCUGCUUAUCAUGGACUUCAUCCAUUGGUGAAAACUGACGAGAGA